CGCUGUCUAAGCACGAAAACAAUGGAAAACAGCAGGAGAAAAAACAAACAACAUGGGAACUACGCUAGAUAGCUUGGGACACUGUUCGCCGAUCGGCUUUGCCCUGGAAACCUCGCAGGGCCCGGAGCGGGGGUCGUUAGGAAUGAAGUAUACGCUACCCUGGAAACUUUUUCUCUAAACCAUUGCUUAUCGCUGUAAUGGUUAUUGAAUAAGGC
rnacentral:lncRNA from 1 species